rnacentral:rRNA from 1 species
UACGUAGGGAGCGAGCGUUGUCCGGAAUUACUGGGCGUAAAGGGCGCGUAGGCGGCCCUUCAAGUUGUAUGUGAAAUACCAGGGCUUAACUCUGGGGGUGCAUACAAAACUGGAGAGCUUGAGUGCGGUAGAGGACAGUGGAAUUCCUAGUGUAGCGGUAAAAUGCGUAGAUAUUAGGAGGAACACCAGUGGCGAAGGCGACUGUCUGGGCCGCAACUGACGCUGAUGCGCGAAAGCGUGGGGAGCAACCAGGAUUAGAUACCCUGGUAGUCCACGCUGUAAACGAUGAAUGCUAGGUGUAGGGGGUAUCGACCCCCUCUGUGCCGCAGUAAACGCAAUAAGCAUUCCGCCUGGGGAGUACGGCCGCAAGGUUGAA